rnacentral:tRNA from 1 species
AAAAAGAUAAGCUAAUAAAGCUACUGGGUUCAUACCCCAUUUAUGAAAGUUUUAGUCUUUCUCUUUUUA